AAAAGAAAAACUCAAGUCAUCUUAACAGACUCUGCCUCUGUCUCUCUCUCUCUCACUCACACACACACACAGCUUUCAGGCGUCCUUGAAGUCAAUAAAAUUGUGACCCCGAUACAUUAAGAAAAAUGCCCUAAGCCAGCCAAGAGUGAAAAUAAACAUGACUGAGCAAUAAAUUGGGAUCGCCUUCCCUCUCCUCCUCCCCGCCACAUGCUCGGGCUUCGCGGGGCAAAACACAGUCCAUAUGGAGGCUCUGACGUAACGGGGCCCACCCCCGCCCUCUCCUCACAGGCCUCCCCCAGGUGACUCCCGGCCCAGGCGGCGGCCCGGGGCACCGAACAAACAUGAGCUGAUGCAGAUGGAAUGAGCAGAUGUCUGGCGUCCCGAGCCCAGGCUGUGAGGGACAGCCCGUGAGAGUGAGGAGGAGGCUUGGAGGGGAGCAGGCACCCCAUUUCCCUGCCCGAUCCCCUGAACCCCGAGUGCCAGCGGCAGCGACGGGGCAAGCAGUCCUUCCAACCCUGAGGACCCCGUCCUCCUGCCUCCCCCGAGACCUUGACUCCCAGACCCAGACAGAGCCUUAGGGUCAAGGCGGCUCGGAGUCACCUGAUCCCAUCUGUCCGUGUGAGACAGAUGAGAACACCGAGGCCUGGGGCCUUAAGGGACUUGACCCCCAGGGUGCACCGGGAGUGGCAGCCUCUGCAGCACUGGGACGCAGGACCAGUCCCAAAAUCCCAACCUGCUCGGUGGGCUAGGGAUCCAGCAUUGACAUUCCUGAUGCAGGAACUCCACAUGCCUCAAGGCAGCCAAAAAACAAAAGGGGGCUUGCCCAACCUCAGGUAAUAGCUUAUGGCCAAACAGAUUUCCACUCUCCUACCUUCUAGAAUAAUCCUUUUUUAUAUUCUAAGCUGGCUGACGCAGUAUGAUCAAAGAUCAUUCAUCCAACUUUUCAUUAAAUCCUCACUGUGGGAGUAGGGAGGGAGAAAUCAGGAGUUUGGGAUUAAAAGGUACACACUACUACAAUAUUAAAAUAACCAGCAAGAACCAACUGUAUAGCACAGGGAACUCGACUCAGUAUCUUGUAAGAACCUAUAAUGAGGAGAAUGCUACCAAAGCAUAUACAUAUACACGACGGAAUCACCUGGCUGUACGCCUGAAACCAACACAACAUUGUGAAUCAACUCUGUUCCGAUAAAAAUUUUAAAUAAAAAAAUAAAUCCUCACUGUAGGCCAGGCCCUGUGGCAGGUGUUUGAAACCCUAAGAUUUUUCCAUGGCAGUAAUCAAAGAUCUCUCCCAGAUACCGAAAAAAGAGCAGUUCCUCUGAGGGCUUCUUGCCCUUUCACAUCAAACAACUGGUUAGCCCCCUACUAUGUGCCAAGUCCAGUACUGGGUGCUAGAAAAGAAAGACAUCCUCUUUCCCCACUUGGGGUCCUCCGAGUUGAGGUUAGAGUCCACGGAAAUGGAUAAACAGGGAGGAGAUUCAGACCAUAAAUUCACAUGGAAUAAACACAGAUAACAAAUAGACAAGAUUAAAUAUUUAGAUUCCGUAUUGGCCAGGAGUUAAGUGGAUUAAUGGAGUGAUGAGUUGGGCAGAGUUAUGGGAUUUCCAUGUUUAGACAGGGCGGAUUAGGUUGUCUAGCAUAUGGAAAUGCAAAUCGAAACUGCUGUCAUCAGCAUCAACACCCUGUAUUCAUCUCUAGAGGUGCCUUUCUGUCAAAGGACGGAAGGUGCAGGACAGACGUCUCGCCCAUCUUAAUGACAUCCUGGUGAGUCAGAAAGCCAGCGCCGAGAUUCCCAGGCUUUAGGUGAGGAGACAGAGCCAGGGCAGGGAGUGGGAAAGCCAAGAGCCGCUAAAACUGAGUCCUGGCCCCUCUUCACCUCCAGGGCCUCCGGAGCACUUGGGCAAUUCAGACAGGCACCAGCAUGCUGACCCAUUGUAAAACGGUCCUUUUGAUCUUUUCCCUCAAAGGAGGCGAGAAUGUGAGCUACCUUGUAAUUAUUUCCCCAGCACUUGAAAUAAUCUGUUUUAGAGUCUCUGUAGAGCGUAAGUUUCUUAAGGGCAGGGACCUACCUUGAAUGCCGCCUGUCAUCUGCGGCUCUGGAGACGCAGCCAGUGUCUUAUCCCUUCUUGCUGAUGAGGGAAGGGUCAGGAAUGGCACUAAGAUGGCCAUGGUGUCAGCCAGGCACAGUUCCCGCGGCUCAUUCAGCUCCUGCCCCUCUGAAGCGUGCUCCUGAAACAAGUCUCUCGCCCAUCAGUACUUCAUGAGACCCCUCUGAAAUCACUUGUUUGACCCCACAGUUAACAGAUCCAAAAAGGGGUUAUUGAUGGAGAAUCAUCAGACGUGCCCAAAGACUUGGCUGCCUGGGCUUUCUGGGCCCAGGAAUUCCAUGAGCGCCGUCUCGUGUGCAUCCCACAAAAACCGCUUGUCAAAGAAUAAUUAAGGGCACAGGCAUUUGAUUCCAGCACCAAACCUGUAUUUGCUCCUCUUGGUAAUGUCUCUCCAAAAUCUAAGAGCCACGCACAACCCAGAUAAGUCUGAAACAGCAUCAUAGCAUUUAGACCACAUCUUGUCUUCCUUCCUGUGAUUGCCGAGUGCUAAUUUGCAGAGCAGUUCUGAGAAAGGUUAUAUGUGAACACAACAGAGUGGAGAGAUCGGGGUUUGAAGGGUUCUGCUGCUGCAUUAUCAAUAUGUGAAAAUUGACACAGGUCUUUUCUAUCCAAGGAAGUCUUGGUCACUCCAUUUGUUCCUGCUUGGUAUGAGGCACCCUCCUCCACCCCCCUCUUUCCCUCUUCUCCCAGUAGCAAUUUGUUUCAAAUCAGCCAACCGAGAAGAACGUGCGCCCUGACCUGACCAAUGAGAAGGAGACAGGUACAUCACCUGCGUUAGGGAUAAAUGUGGGGGGGUCUUCCCUCUGGCGUUUUGUGGACCCUCACGCCCUUCUGCCGAAGUAAAGAGCCUUGUCGAGAUCUCCUGUGUUCAUGUGUCUCAUUUUCCAACACUGCCGAUCACUUUUCCGACACUGCCAGAGUCCUUUUCCCCAACAAAUAUGACAGCCUUCUAGUGGAACCUUUGAUUUACAGUCAAGCUGAGACCCUGGGACAGCAAAUAACCCACCUUUUAAAGGCAGCUUUAGUUCCUCACCUCCAAAAAUGGGGACCUGCUAUAGUCAAUCUCAGACGUCUCCAGGCUGCAGACUCCCCACCUGUAAUCUCCGCCCUCCCUCCUCCACCUCGUGGAAUAAGGUAAGGAGCCUCACCUGGCCUCGCCGGGCACCGUUCCAGUCUUGCCCUGUGCUGCACGCAAACGCUGCAAAUCAUUGCCAGGUGUGGGCAAAUAGGCUCGUGACCUUUAUCUACCCUUCUAUUGGCUGUGCCCUGCCCCCUGCUUCAUGUCCCUGUUUGAACACCUUUGAUCGCCACCCGGCGCAGAAUGGAACUUGAUUCGUGACCCGGGACCAUCUGUUCCACCCACUCCCCCCAGAGUUCCUGCCAGUUCACCUGCCAUUUCCCCAGGAGAGCUGGUCUUCAAAGUGGGCGGGUCCAUCACUGAUUUCCCCAGAUAUCGUUCGGCUCAAUACAGGAGAAUGUGACACAGCCCCGAAGUUCUCAGGGAGACUCGGCCCUCGAGAGACUGACUCACAUAUCACUGUCCCGGUUACCAGCAUACAUUGCUCUGUUGUUAAACCGUGAAGGAGAUGGAUGUUCUGCUUGAGAAGAAGACUUUCUAGACUGGCAAGUGACUGGAAUGGCGCCGGGUCCGUGCGUUGGUCAGAAGGCUGUGCCUGACGUCAGCACAUCCACGUUGCCUUGCAAGGCUCUGGCUCACUGCGACCUGAAGCAUUUGUCAUCCCAUCAUACGUGGACCCCA